rnacentral:rRNA from 1 species
CUUUCUCCGCCGGCGACCGGCGCACGGGUGAGUAACACGUAUGCAACCUGCCCCUGUCAGGGGGACAACCCGCCGAAAGGCGGGCUAAACCCGCGUACAUGCCACCGGGGCAUCCCGGAGGCAGGAAAGGCUUCGGCCGGACAGGGAUGGGCAUGCGGCGCAUUAGGCAGUAGGCGGGGUAACGGCCCACCGAGGCGACGAUGCGUAGGGGUUCUGAGAGGAAGGUCCCCCACACUGGUACUGAGACACGGACCAGACUCCUACGGGAGGCAGCAG